rnacentral:rRNA from 1 species
UGGGGAAUAUUGGACAAUGGGCGAAAGCCUGAUCCAGCCAUGCCGCGUGUGUGAAGAAGGUCUUCGGAUUGUAACGCACUUUAAGUUGGGAGGAAGGGCAGUAAGCGAAUACCUUGCUGUUUUGACGUUACCGACAGAAUAAGCACCGGCUAACUCUGUGCCAGCAGCCGCGGUAAUACAGAGGGUGCAAGCGUUAAUCGGAAUUACUGGGCGUAAAGCGCGCGUAGGUGGUUCGUUAAGUUGAAUGUGAAAGCCCCGGGCUCAACCUGGGAACUGCAUCCAAAACUGGCGAGCUAGAGUAGGGCAGAGGGUGGUGGAAUUUCCUGUGUAGCGGUGAAAUGCGGAGAUAUAGGAAGGAACACCAGUGGCGAAGGCGACCACCUGGGCUCAUACUGACACUGAGGUGCGAAAGCGUGGGGAGCAAACAGG